rnacentral:rRNA from 1 species
UACAGAGGUCUCAAGCGUUGUUCGGAUUCAUUGGGCGUAAAGGGUGCGUAGGCGGCGCGAUAAGUCGGGUGUGAAAUCUCGGAGCUUAACUCCGAAACUGCAUUCGAUACUGCCGUGCUUGAGGACUGGAGAGGAGACUGGAAUUUACGGUGUAGCGGUGAAAUGCGUAGAUAUCGGGAGGAACACCUGAGGCGAAGGCGGGCUACUGGGCUGAUACUGACGCUGAGGCGCGAAAGCCAGGGGAGCAAACGGG